AUGUUGCGUCUCCGCUGUCUCUCCUUUCAUUCUUGUAUUAUAAUAAAGGAGCUUCAGGCUGUUCUGGUCUAAACACAACGCGUGGUUAAUUUCCAUGAAAAUUUCUUGUGCCAUGACUAGGAUCCACGGUAUACCGCCGAACCGGAGGACCGCAGACCGUUCCCCACCAGACCCGGGCAGCAUCUGAAAGGCUGAGGAAUCACGUCCACAUUUCACUCCAGAUCGUCCCGUCUGCCAGGAGAAAGGGAAGGGAAAUGACUAUGAUGGAUCCAGCUCAGUCACGGCUAUUUGUGGCUGC